GGUCAUGGUGGCUCAGUGGUAGAGCAUUUGGUUGGCAGGCAAAAUGUCCCAGGUUCAAUUUCCAGCACUACCUGUCCA
rnacentral:tRNA from 1 species